UUUUAGCCCCGAUUGCAGUGAAAAUCCUUUUUGUCUCUUUUUUGAGACAAAAAGAUUGUAACGGAAAGCGGGAAACAGC
rnacentral:sRNA from 1 species